CGUUAAUUACAAAUAUUUGAAUUGAUUAGAUUUAAUUGGUGGAGACUAAUUGGAAAGUGUAUAGAAAAAUAAAUAAUAAAUUAAACUGUAAACAUUUAUUAUAUUCUGAAUAAACGUGAAAUCUCUAAAAAGUCUUAAUUUCGGAAACAUAAUUAGUGAAAAAUUUAGCCUAGAUUAAUUAGAAGUACUGCUGUGUUAAAUGAUUGAUUCUCAUAUUUUGCAUGUCAUGUUACAAUUAACAUAAACACAAAUAAAUAGCGAUAAUUAACGUAAACCCUCAUCCCACUAUCAUCUGUCUCGAGCACAUAGUAAGAUCGUUUCAUUGUUAAAAGCGAAGCUAACGACAUCUGGCACACGAGCCAACGGUCGCUAUUCGAUCAAUGGUCCUUUGCUUUUUUCCUAUCAAGACAGUGGCACUUUAUAAGUGGAUGACCUUACUUAGUUCGCCAUUAAUAUCGCACCACGUGUAAGCAAACACAUGUGAAUUAGAAGAUUAGUCCAAAGAGAGGAAACGUAAGAACGAAGAACCAACCAAGUGGACGCAGGAACUCUCAACACAACCAAUCCCCCGACUCACCAGUCACCACUUCCCAUAUUGGAUGAUGAUACCAACCAAAAGGUAAUUGAUUUCGACUGCUUUUAUUUCCCCUUGGGAUCAAAAGGAACAAAGUGAUGUGAGACCCAAUUUUGUUUUGUGCCCUUUUCUUUUUUACUACACACAGAUGUCACAAACUUUUUUAAAUAAAUAAUCCGACUAAUACUGAUUAGAAAAGUUUAAUUGAAUCAUCCUAUCAUCAGCUUCCCUUGUAAUAUCUAGCUCUGAAUUAUAUAUGCGGUUGAGCAAAGUCCUGCUCUAUUGAUAUUUAAUUCUCACGGUUCACUGGCAUCUACAAUUUAGAUCAUCACAUACAUGUUCGAUGUGAC
rnacentral:lncRNA from 1 species